AAGUUAGAAAGGGCGCACGGUGGAUGCCUUGACACUAGGAGUCGAUGAAGGACGGGACUAACGCCGAUAUGCUUCGGGGAGCUGUAAGUAAGCUUUGAUCCGAAGAUUUCCGAAUGGGGAAACCCACUAUACGUAAUGGUAUGGUAUCCUUACCUGAAUACAUAGGGUAUGGAAGACAGACCCAGGGAACUGAAACAUCUAAGUACCUGGAGGAAGAGAAAGCAAAUGCGAUUUCCUGAGUAGCGGCGAGCGAAACGGAAUCUAGCCCAAACCAAGAGGCUUGCCUCUUGGGGUUGUAGGACAUUCUAUACGGAGUUACAAAGGAACGAGGUAGACGA
rnacentral:rRNA from 1 species